ACGACACUAACAAUCCUUCGGGUGCGUUAAUGGGCGUCGAGCGGCGGACGGGUGAGUAAUGCCUAGGAAAUUGCCUUGAUGUGGGGGAUAACCAUUGGAAACGAUGGCUAAUACCGCAUAAUGCCUACGGGCCAAAGAGGGGGACCUUCGGGCCUCUCGCGUCAAGAUAUGCCUAGGUGGGAUUAGCUAGUUGGUGAGGUAAUGGCUCACCAAGGCGACGAUCCCUAGCUGGUCUGAGAGGAUGAUCAGCCACACUGGAACUGAGACACGGUCCAGACUCCUACGGGAGGCAGCAGUGGGGAAUAUUGCACAAUGGGCGAAAGCCUGAUGCAGCCAUGCCGCGUGUAUGAAGAAGGCCUUCGGGUUGUAAAGUACUUUCAGUUGUGAGGAAGGGGGUAGUGUUAAUAGCGCUAUCUCUUGACGUUAGCAACAGAAGAAGCACCGGCUAACUCCGUGCCAGCAGCCGCGGUAAUACGGAGGGUGCGAGCGUUAAUCGGAAUUACUGGGCGUAAAGCGCAUGCAGGUGGUUCAUUAAGUCAGAUGUGAAAGCCCGGGGCUCAACCUCGGAACGGCAUUUGAAACUGGUGAACUAGAGUACUGUAGAGGGGGGUAGAAUUUCAGGUGUAGCGGUGAAAUGCGUAGA
rnacentral:rRNA from 1 species